rnacentral:lncRNA from 1 species
UUUAUUUUUGAGGAUUUGAAAAUACAAUGAGCUUUAUCGCCCCUCAACCCCCUUCUCCUCAGGAACAUGACUAUAUAAAGAGUAACUUUUCCUGAAAUGCUCUCAUGCCUGGCUUGGUAGCAAGAUUGUUUGGAGACAUCCGAGUUCAAGCUACAGUUUUGAAGCAAAGCUAACAAGCUGCUCUAGCGGAAAGGGGGAGAGUGCCAAAACGAAGAUCUUUUUGGCUCCACCCGAGCACAAGAUUCAACUCAUUCCAGCGGCUCACGAGGUUCCACAAUGAGUUUUCUGCUCAGCUUUAGCUAGCUUACCUGGCCGAGCAGCAUACAAAUUCAUUUACACAAACUUC